UACGUAGGGUGCAAGCGUUAAUCGGAAUUACUGGGCGUAAAGCGUGCGCAGGCGGUUUCGUAAGUCUGUCGUGAAAUCCCCGGGCUUAACCUGGGAAUGGCGAUGGAGACUGCGAGGCUAGAGUUUGGCAGAGGGGGGUAGAAUUCCACGUGUAGCAGUGAAAUGCGUAGGGAUGUGGAGGAACACCGAUGGCGAAGGCAGCCCCCUGGGUCAAAACUGACGCUCAUGCACGAAAGCGUGGGGAGCAAACAGG
rnacentral:rRNA from 1 species